CGGCGUGCCUAAUACAUGCAAGUCGAACGCGCUGUUGUCGACAGAAGGUGCUUGCACUGGAAGUUGAUUGACGUGAGUGGCGGACGGGUGAGUAACACGUGGGUAACCUGCCCUUAAGCGGGGGAUAACAUUUGGAAACAGAUGCUAAUACCGCAUAAAAGUUGAGAUCACAUGGUCUUAAUUUGAAAGACGGCCUUUGGCUGUCACUUAAGGAUGGACCCGCGGCGUAUUAGCUAGUUGGUGAGAUAAUAGCCCACCAAGGCGAUGAUACGUAGCCGACCUGAGAGGGUAAUCGGCCACAUUGGGACUGAGACACGGCCCAAACUCCUACGGGAGGCAGCAGUAGGGAAUCUUCCACAAUGGACGAAAGUCUGAUGGAGCAACGCCGCGUGAGUGAAGAAGGUUUUCGGAUCGUAAAACUCUGUUGUUGGAGAAGAACAGGGACUAGAGUAACUGUUAGUCCUUUGACGGUAUCCAACCAGAAAGCCACGGCUAACUACGUGCCAGCAGCCGCGGUAAUACGUAGGUGGCAAGCGUUGUCCGGAUUUAUUGGGCGUAAAGCGAGCGCAGGCGGUUUCUUAAGUCUGAUGUGAAAGCCUUCGGCUUAACCGAAGAAGUGCAUCAGAUACUGGGAAACUUGAGUGCAGAAGAGGAAAGUGGAACUCCAUGUGUAGCGGUGAAAUGCGUAGAUAUAUGGAAGAACACCAGUGGCGAAGGCGGCUUUCUGGUCUGUAACUGACGCUGAGGCUCGAAAGUAUGGGGAGCGAACAGGAUUAGAUACCCUGGUAGUCCAUACCGUAAACGAUGAAUGCUAAGUGUUGGAGGGUUUCCGCCCUUCAGUGCUGCAGCUAACGCAUUAAGCAUUCCGCCUGGGGAGUACGACCGCAAGGUUGAAACUCAAAGGAAUUGACGGGGGCCCGCACAAGCGGUGGAGCAUGUGGUUUAAUUCGAAGCUACGCGAAGAACCUUACCAGGUCUUGACAUCUAGCGCCAAUCUUAGAGAUAGGACGUUCCCUUCGGGGACGCUAAGACAGGUGGUGCAUGGUUGUCGUCAGCUUGUGUCGUGAGAUGUUGGGUUAAGUCCCGCAACGAG
rnacentral:rRNA from 1 species